rnacentral:rRNA from 1 species
UACGUAGGUGGCGAGCGUUAUCCGGAAUUACUGGGCGUAAAGCGCAAGCAGGCGGUCUGUUAAGUUUGACGUAAAAUCUCCUGGCUUAACUGGGAGGGGUCGUUGGAGACUGGCAGACUUGAGGCGAUGAGAGGGGCAUGGAAUUCCCGGUGUAGUGGUGGAAUGCGUAGAGAUCGGGAGGAACACCAGAGGCGAAAGCGGUGCCCUGGCAUUGGCCUGACGCUGAGAUGCGAAAGCGUGGGGAGCGAAC